rnacentral:pre_miRNA from 1 species
CUUGUACUCCCUCUGAUCCAUAUUACUUGUCGAAAUAUUACAUGUAUCUAGACACUUUUUAAAUAUAGAUACAUCCAUAUUUGGACAAAUUUGAGACAAAUAAUGUGGGUCGGAGGGGGUAACAA